rnacentral:misc_RNA from 1 species
AAACUGUAUAAAAAACGAAUUUUAUUGAGAAAUAGAGAGAAAGAGAGUGGAAUAGACAUGAUUGGAGAGACAUUUUAAGAGUUGGAAUGGAGUGGAAAAGCGAAGGUGGGCUUCCCCAUCUCACCGGAACUACUCAUAAACAAUAAACAGACCAUGAACUGAUCGAAAAACCUUUAAAGUGCAAAUAACUGAAGUGCAUUGCAUGAUAUAUAAAAGAGAAUACUACUGCAUACCAGUAUUAUAUGAUUGAACAUCUCUCCUUGGAGAAUCACCAAGUUAUUGGAUACUUCACACGAAUAGAUCGGUGCUGCUUUAAAAACAAAUGCGGACAAAUUAGACACGAGCUUCGUUAGCGAAAUUGAGAUGACUCAACUACAUGUAACUCAACUACAUUGAACACCUGGAGAAUCAAUAAAUAAAGAAUACAAAUACAUCAGGGAUUUUCCGAUACUAAUUCUCUAUGUGAAUUUGAGAUACUGACAUCACGGAUGUAAAGAUUAAUUAAUUGUACUGUCUAUCAACUUCCAUUAACUCGAGCAUAUAUACUCUCAAACCAAACUGAAUUUGAUGUGAGAUACAAUAGAAAAUGAUUUCAUGUUUUAUGAAACUAUUCAUAAACACAAUACAGUUAUAGUAAUUUCAUAUAAAACCACUCUUGGGGAAAUUAUAGUUUUUGGAAAACUGAAGGAAUAUUGUGAAAUAUCUAAUUGAUCCUAAAGUCACAAGAAAAUGGCGAUAACAAAUGUGACGUUUUCAACGAUAGACACCAAUGGCAGUUAUGGACCAAAAAUACAGCCUAUGGAUGACGAUAAUGGCAGUUCCCGUAAUGAAUUCGAUCCAGUGGAUUAUCCUGAUACAGCGAGACUUGUGACAAUUAUAGGUGGCGCUAUUAUACUGCUUGGUGGAUUAUUCUUGAACUCCAUGACAAUAAAGACAAUUUAUAAAACCCCAAAGUUACAUAACGUCACAUACUUGUUCCUGGUCCUACUCAAUGGUAAUGAUAUUGUCUUCUCUGUUUGGUCGAUUACCUUCAUUGUAAUCACAGACAUUUAUAACAAAUGGAUCUUUGGAUCAGGUUUCUGCCAAGCGUUUGCCUUCGUUAAUGGAACAUUGCUCGGACUUGAACUAUUCAUGCUUAUGUUUAUAACAAUGAGCCGUUACAUCAAGGUUGUCCACCCCCAGUAUUUCAAUAUCAUAUUUACGAAGAAGUCAAUCAUGGGUAUGAUUUUAUUUGCGAUUAUAUUCGUCACAGCCUGUUUGCUUCCUCCUUUGACAGGCAUGUGGGGGGAAAUUGAAUAUAUCGCACGUAAGAACAUAUGUAGCUUUAAGGAUAAGAAUGACAAUUAUCAUAUGUUCCUAGAGGGCAUCACAGUAUUGCUUCCACUAACUGUCAUCAUUAUAAGCUACGUCAGAAUAUACAUAGUGGUUCAUAACCAAUCGAAAACUCUUAAACGUCACAGUCUCAUGCCCAAUGGGGACACGAAACGUCCACCUAGUAACACAAUGCUUAAACGUAAAGAACGCCAGCUCACAAAAACACUAGUGGCUCUCGUUGUGACAUUCAUUCUCUCGUACACUCCAUAUUUGGUUGUAGCUGGUGUUGAUAAAGAAAUCCAGUAUCCUAUUUUACAUAGAAUCGCAACCAUAUUGCUAUGGUCGAACUCAUGCUGGAAUAAUGUUGUAUUAGUUGGGAUGAAUUCACAGUUUAGGGAUUAUUGGUUGGCACAAUUGAAAUGUAAGGACGUCCCCGCAGACCACUCCCCAGUCGUGAAAAGGGUCUCCGACUCAACGAACAUUCCACCAGAGUGAGUGUCUAUAAUUGUAAAAAUUCUGAGCUUAGAUGUCAUUAUGGUCACACUAAAUACACAAAUGAGACUGGUCAUUAAAAACUGAUGAAAAUGUUACGGAUGUGAGACGAAUAAUUUCAAAACCUUUCCGAAGACUUGGACUCAGAUGUUAUCUUUGUUACAUUCAAUCAAUCUAAUGUGGAAUUUUCUGAAGACAGUCAAAUUGGAGAUAAAGGUAAAAUAUAGAUAUAUAUAUAUGUAUAUACAGGGCGUUAAAUAAGUACUGAUAAAGGUAAAAUAAAUUUAUAUGUAUAUACAUGUGGAGCAAAAAGAAUGGAUUCAAAAAAAGAAAUAACAAGGUAAAAUAAAAAAACAGUAACACUGAACAAUGGGUUCUUAAUGUAAAAGAGAAAUCAAUGCACUAUUAAGAAAUAUAUAGAUGUACAUUUGUUUGAAAAUUUAUUCAUUGAACUUGUUAAACACUAAUUGAAAUUGUAAAAGCACUCUUUGAGAAUUUGGUUUUUGAUAAAUAUUUCGAUUCCACCGAAGCAAAUAUUUUUGUUUGUUAUUUUUGAAAUAUUUUUCCUAUCUUCAUUUAUUUAUGUUAAACUUAGGGAAAUAUAUGAGGAAAAUCCAAUUAUCCAACAUUUGAUCUUAAUAAUGUGGUUUAUUGUGUCAAAGAAUCAAUAUUCACCUGUCGGGCCGAUUCAAAAGUAAUAGACCAAAU